AUUGAACGCUGGCGGCAGGCCUAACACAUGCAAGUCGAACGAGUGGCGGACGGGUGAGUAAUGUCUGGGAAACUGCCUGAUGGAGGGGGAUAACUACUGGAAACGGUAGCUAAUACCGCAUACCAUCGGAUGAGCCCAGAUGGGAUUAGCUAGGAGGUGGGGUAAAGGCUCACCUAGGCGACGAUCACUAGCUGGUCUGAGAGGAUGACCAGCCACACUGGAACUGAGACACGGUCCAGACUCCAACGGGAGACGGCAGUGGGGAAUAUUGCAAAAUGGGCACAAGCCUGAUGCAGACAUGCCGCGUAUAUGAAGAAGGCCUUCGGGUUGUAAAGUACUUUCAGCGGGGAGACGUUACCCGCAGAGGAAGCACCGGCUAACUCCGUGCCAGCAGCCGCGGUAAUUC
rnacentral:rRNA from 1 species